GUGACCAUAGUUUAACGGUAAAACUGCGGAUUGUGGAUCCGCUAUCGAGGGUUCAACUCCCUCUGGUCACCCCA
rnacentral:tRNA from 3 species